rnacentral:piRNA from 1 species
UGAUGGAUCAGAUGAUGGGUCU